rnacentral:lncRNA from 1 species
UGGAUUUCCUUUCCCAAAUUCCAUAAAAAUCCCUCGGGAUGGAUCCUGAGCCUCCUGGAUCCCGGAAUUCCUUGGGAUGGGAUCCCAGGGUCCAGUUUGGGAUUGGUGGGAAUGGGAUGGGAUUGGGAAUUUCCCAAUUUUUAUGGAAUUUGGGAAAGGAAAUCCAGGGAUUUUCUGGGAUUUGGGGUUUUUUUUGGGAUACCCCAGGAAUUCCUUCCCAAAUCCCAAAUCCUUCCCAAUCCCAUCCCAAAAUUCCAUCCCAAUCCCAAAUCCCAUCUCAAUUCCACCCCAAUCCCUUCCCAAAUCCUUCCCAAUCCCACCCCAAUCCCAAAUCCCAUGGAUGAUCCCAUUCCCAUGGGAUGAUCCCAUUCCCUCAGGAUGAUCCCGUUCCCAGCUGAUCCCGUUCCCAUGGAUGAUCCCGUUCCCAUGGGAUGAUCCCGUUCCCAGCUGAUCCCGUUCCCAUGGAUGAUCCCGUUCCCAUGGGAUGAUCCCGUUCCCAGCCGAUCCCGUUCCCAUGGAUGAUCCCGUUCCCAUGGAUGAUCCCGUUCCCAUGGGAUGAUCCCGUUCCCAGCUGAUCCCGUUCCCAUGGAUGAUCCCGUUCCCAUGGGAUGAUCCCGUUCCCAGCUGAUCCCGUUCCCAUGGGAUGAUCCCGUUCCCAUGGAUGAUCCCGUUCCCAUGGGAUGAUCCCGUUCCCAGCCGAUCCCGUUCUCGUUCCCGGGUGUGUCCGGGUGUGUCCGGGCGCGGGGUCCGAAGGUCCCGGCCGAUCCCGUUCCCGGUUAAUGAUUUCCCCGGAAAUCCUCGGGAUCGAGCUACGGGAAUCUGCGGGACUUGGAGAACCCCAAAUGGGGAAAAACUGAACCCCCAAAAACCCCAAAUGGGGAAAAACUGAACCCAAAAAUCCCAAAUGGGGAAAAACUGAACCCAAAAACCCCAAAUGGGGAAAAACUGAACCC